rnacentral:tRNA from 1 species
GCCGGAAUAGCUCAGUUGGGAGAGCGUUAGACUGAACAAUCAUCUAAAGGCCCCUGGUUCAAUCCCGGGUUCCGGCA